GCAGCUCAGUCAGUAGAGCAUGAGACUCUUAAUCUCAGGGUUGUGGGUUAGAACCCCAUGUUGGGUG